UACGGGGGGGGCAAGCGUUGUUCGGAAUUACUGGGCGUAAAGGGCUCGUAGGCGGCCAACUAAGUCAGACGUGAAAUCCCCAGGCUCAACCUGGGAACUGCGUCUGAUACUGGAUGGCUUGAGAUUGGGAGAGGGAUGCGGAAUUCCAGGCGUAGCGGUGAAAUGCGUAGAUAUCUGGAGGAACACCGGUGGCGAAGGCGGCAUCCUGGACCAACACUGACGCUGAGGAGCGAAAGCGUGGGGAGCAAACAGG
rnacentral:rRNA from 1 species